rnacentral:misc_RNA from 1 species
CCCCACACUCCCAUUCAUCCACACGCCGCCCAAUAAAACUCCUAUAUAUUCGUCCCCCCUCCUCCGCAGCGAAGUACACACACACACACACACACACACGCCGACACGCACGCAAACGCAUCUGCGCAGCAACAGGGGCACAAAAAGGGUCACCAUGCCGAACCGACUCGAGCAACUCCGCGAGAUGACAACUGUCGUCGCCGAUACGGCGAACUUCAGUCUCAUGGAGAAGUUCCGGCCGGAGGAUGCGACGACGAACCCAUCACUUGUGCUGGCCGGAUCACAGAUGACCGAAUACGCGAACCUCUUGACGGAGGCUAUCGAUUACGCCAGGGCAAACAUCAGCAGGCACAGUGAUCACUACACAAGCGAUGACAACGACGAGAACCUGGUGGCCCUCGCGCUUGAUAAGCUGACGGUCAGCUUCGGCAUCCAGAUAUUGAAGGUCGUGCCGGGCCGCGUGAGCACCGAGGUGGACGCGAAGCUGUCCUUCAAUGAGCAAAAGAUGAUCGACAAGGCGCGCCUUCUUAUUCGGAUGUACGAGGAGGCUGGCAUCAGCCGCAACCGCAUCUACAUCAAGCUGGCCUCCACCUGGGAGGGCAUCCAGGCCGCUCGUACGCUGGAGAAGGAGGGCAUCUGCUGCAACCUGACGCUGCUCUUCUCGUUCGCUCAGGCGGUCGCGUGCGCACAGGCGAACGUCUCCCUCAUCUCGCCUUUCGUCGGCCGCAUCCUUGAUUGGUACAGGAAGGCGGAGCCGGCCAAGGCGGACUGCUUCGUCGGCGCGGCCGACCCCGGUGUUGUCUCCGUCACUAAGAUCUACAACUACUACAAGAAGCACGGCUACAAGACCAUCGUUAUGGGCGCCUCCUUCCGCAACGUUGAGGAGAUCUUGGAGCUGGCCGGCUGCGACAAGCUCACCAUCUCCCCCUCGCUACUGGAGGAGCUGGCAGCCAGUGAAGGCAACGUCGUCCGCAAGCUCCACCCCGACAAGGUGACGGAGGUGGAGAAACUGCCAGAGCUGUCGAGAGAGGACUUCCUCUUCAUGCACAAUGAAGACCCGAUGGCUGUCGAGAAGCUCUCCGAGGGCAUCCGCAACUUCCACAAGGACACAGUGAAGCUGACGAACGCCAUCCGUGAGAAGCUGUAAAUGAACCAAGCGCGUGGGCUCGUAUGUGCCAGUGGUGGCGGGGUGCGGCUGGAGAGAGGGAAGGGGUGUAGUUCGCGAUCGGCCAGGUUCACGUGACUUGCAACCGCUCUUGCGCUACCCCUUCUCCCUCUACCUUCCCCCGUCGGACGUUGCACAACACGGCGCCCACGCAGCCUUUCCUGCUUCUCUCCCCCUUCGCGGAGGGAGGUGGUGAUGAGGGGGAGAGGGGAUAGACGGCGCUGCACCAUCAGCACGUACUCGCGUUUCUCAACAGUCCGCCACGACACCGUGCGUCUACACCUCGCGUAGGGCGUCGACGAGUUGCUAUGCUGCUCUACAGCACACGCACGCGGACACGCAUAGGUGAGAGAGAGACACACAAUCGGAUGGCCGAUACGGCCCGCAGUCGCACACAGUACCGCGCAGAUCGAGCACAGCGGUGCAGGCUGGAGGCACGCGUGCAUGCGGCUGUGAUGCCACGCUGGCGAGCAUCCUCAAACACACGCACCUACACCGAGGGCGGGAGAGAGAGGAGAGGCAUUGCACCAUUCAAAAUGUUUGUGAGCAAGCGACUUGUCUUCUUGCUUUCGUUUUUCACCGCGAUGUUCUCCCCUGGUGAUGAGGAGGAGAGGCACACCCCUCUCAGCGCGCGGUAUCUCAGGGCCCAGUGCCCCCUCAACUCUGUGUGUGGGAGGAGGCCCAGCAGCAGCCCCCACCCCUAUUCCUGCCAAACGCCGAACCACCUCCGGCGGUGACAGGCUCGGGCACCUGCGACAUGGCGAGGUCAGAGCGACGUAUCGCUACAGAUGUCGGCGGUCAGGUCCUGGCCUGCGUGGCGUCGGAGCAGCCUGCGAGACGGCUGUUGGUGGGUAGAGCUUGAGUCGCGAGGGCCGUGCUCCCUGAUGACCGAGUCGGCGCGCUGCUGUGCCGCGUGUGCCCAAGGCUGCUUCGCAUCCCGCGAUGGGGCCCGUGGCAGGAGGGGCCGGGGGCAGUGUGGCGUUGAGCGCGUGCUGUGCGGCAGAGGGGGUGGGUGGGGCAUGGCCCCACGCUGCAGAAAGGGAAACAUUGUAUCCGUUGUUUUCGUGGGCAUAGUCGUGGCCGCUACAGCGUCGUAUUCCUCGCCGUGUGCGUGUGCGAGCGAUCGAAAGGAUCCGGUGUGACGUAGGUGCGUUGCCGUGUCCUUGCCGUCUCUACCACCGCCUGCGCCUCGCUGAUCCUGCUCUCCCUAUGACCAUCUCAGGACGUAGAUGUUGUCUGCUGCCCUCCUUCCAGCUUCUUACUCGUCUUGCUCCAAGGCAGACCGAUGCUUUCUUUCGACUUUUUUUCUGUUGCUCAGUAUAUGAACAGUGGGGGCGGGUGGGGGCAGCGUUGCUGGGCACGACAGGCAUGCUGGCGCAAAAGAAAAGGGCUUGAGGCGGGGGAGGGGGCAUACCGCUGAGCGCCGCCACGUCUGCGUGUGCGUGUGUGCGCGGGUACACACACCACUCGCCUCAACCCCUCCUCCCAUCCCAUACAUUCUCUAUUAUGCAUAGUUGGUUCUCGUUGGCUUCACUGUCCCUUCGCCAUCUGCGCAUGUGCGGCGGACGGAGGGGGGAGGAGGGCAGUGAGCCCUUUUUUUUUCAUCUGGUGAUCACACGCUAUAUAUACAUCUUCAGGCGCCCGCCCGCCCGCCCGCACGCUGAAAGUACUCAUCUUUCUUUUCUCCUCGCUCUCCCGCGUGCUCGGUCGAUGGGCCGGCCGGCAGAUACAUCACCACUGCCACACGAGGAAGGGAAAUGAUAGGCGCGAGAGCAUGAAAACCGGCAUGCAAGCUCGGAGGAGAGGAGGGAGGGAGGGAGGGAGGGGGUACUGAUGAUGGUGGCGCGAGGGGGACAAGGUGAGGGUGCCGAGUGCAGCAACGGAGGAACACGCAUGAAAAAUGUCCACUUCCCCUCCUCCUCCCUCCUUAAAGAGGUGGAGAUGUCUGGGCGCUGGGGCGAGCGCGCACUGAGCGCACAGGGCAACAGAAGAUAACAACGGUGCGCACAUCGAGAG